GGGUUGCAGCUGCGACGUGACAAUUAACGACGUGUUUAUUCAAAGCGCACUGCGUCCCAGAGGACCCGCUGAGGUGCGAGUGACUUGUUGACUUCGAGCCGUGCAUUUAAAUAUCUCUCUCACACACACACGGACACGAAAUCGCGUUAACGUCGACAGAUUCCGAAUAUACGGCGGCGUUUAGCAUUCUGCCGUGACGUGAAUUAGCCACGCGCGGCUGCACACGUGACGGAGAGGAAAUGAGGAUUAAAAUCCGUGCCGGAUGUUCGGCUUGGACUUCCUCGGAGGACGAAACGUUCGUGACUGAUGAGAUGAAGUUCUCGAGCUUUGGACCCACGUGAUGUGCCCCGCGUGAGCUGCUGAUCCGAUGGCGUGUAAACCAAAUUCCUGCUUCCUGUUUCCUCUCUCAGGACGUGUGGGUUUGGGGUUUAGUGAAGUGUUGGAGAUUGAUUUGAUUUUUACUUCUGGUCCACUUCCUGUGAAAACGACAAGUUCAUCUGCAAACACGAAAAUAAUCACAGGCUUACUUUGAUGACGUUUUCCCUUAAUCGUUCAUUACAGUCUCUUUUUCCCCCUUUUCUCAUUUUAUCUGAAUUAAAUUCAUUAAAGAUAUAUAUUAAAUAGGUACGCGUAUUUGGGUAUCUAUAUCUAGCUAAUUAUAUACAGUGCCCUCCACUAAUAUUGGCACCCUCGGUAAAUAUGAGCAAGGAAGGCUGUGAAAAACUUCGAUCUUUUGUUCAAAUAAUUCACAAAAACUACUCUGCUCUCAUGGA